rnacentral:rRNA from 1 species
AUGAACGCUGGCGGCGUGCCUCAUACAUGCAAGUCGAGCGAACGGACGAGAAGCUUGCCUCUCUGAUGUUAGCGGCGGACGGGUGAGUAACACGUGGAUAACCUACCUAUAAGACUGGGAUAACUUCGGGAAACCGGAGCUAAUACCGGAUAAUAUUUUGAACCGCAUGGUUCAAAAGUGAAAGACGGUCUUGCUGUCACUUAUAGAUGGAUCCGCGCUGCAUUAGCUAGUUGGUAAGGUAACGGCUUACCAAGGCAACGAUGCAUAGCCGACCUGAGAGGGUGAUCGGCCACACUGGAACUGAGACACGGUCCAGACUCCUACGGGAGGCAGCAGUAGGGAAUCUUCCGCAAUGGGCGAAAGCCUGACGGAGCAACGCCGCGUGAGUGAUGAAGGUCUUCGGAUCGUAAAACUCUGUUAUUAGGGAAGAACAUAUGUGUAAGUAACUGUGCACAUCUUGACGGUACCUAAUCAGAAAGCCACGGCUAACUACGUG